rnacentral:rRNA from 1 species
CAGAGUUUGAUCCUGGCUCAGAUUGAACGCUGGCGGCAUGCUUUACACAUGCAAGUCGAACGGUAGAGGGCUUCGGCCCUUGAGAGUGGCGAACGGGUGAGUAAUGCAUCGGAACGUACCGUGUUGUGGGGGAUAACGUAGCGAAAGUUACGCUAAUACCGCAUAAGACCUGAGGGUGAAAGCGGGGGAUCGCAAGACCUCGCGCGACACGAGCGGCCGAUGUCGGAUUAGCUAGUUGGUGGGGUAAAGGCCUACCAAGGCGACGAUCCGUAGCGGGUCUGAGAGGAUGAUCCGCCACACUGGGACUGAGACACGGCCCAGACUCCUACGGGAGGCAGCAGUGGGGAAUUUUGGACAAUGGGCGCAAGCCUGAUCCAGCCAUGCCGCGUGCGGGAAGAAGGCCUUCGGGUUGUAAACCGCUUUCGGACGGAAAGAAAUCGCCAUCUCUAACAUAGGUGGUGGAUGACGGUACCGUAAGAAGAAGCACCGGCUAACUACGUGCCAGCAGCCGCGGUAAUACGUAGGGUGCGAGCGUUAAUCGGAAUUACUGGGCGUAAAGCGUGCGCAGGCGGCUUUUUAAGCCAGAUGUGAAAUCCCCGGGCUUAACCUGGGAACUGCAUUUGGAACUGGAAGGCUAGAGUGUGUCAGAGGGAGGUGGAAUUCCACGUGUAGCAGUGAAAUGCGUAGAGAUGUGGAGGAACACCGAUGGCGAAGGCAGCCUCCUGGGAUAACACUGACGCUCAUGCACGAAAGCGUGGGGAGCAAACAGGAUUA